UACGGGGGGGGCAAGCGUUGUUCGGAAUUACUGGGCGUAAAGGGCUCGUAGGCGGCCAACUAAGUCGUACGUGAAAUCCCCAGGCUCAACCUGGGAACUGCGUCCGAUACUGGAUGGCUUGAAUUCGGGAGAGGGAUGCAGAAUUCCAGGUGUAGCGGUGAAAUGCGUAGAUAUCUGGAGGAAUACCGGUGGCGAAGGCGGCUGCCUGGGCCAGUUCUGACGCUGAGGCGCGAAAGCGUGGGGAGCAAACAGG
rnacentral:rRNA from 1 species